GCCAUUCUGUUAAUUUGGUGUUUGGUGAGUAACUCUGUGAAUAAUGUUCAUCGAAACAGGCGGUUCUGUCUCAUAAGCGUUUAUUUCUAUAAUAUGGCAAAACAAAACAACCCAGGGUGAAUUGUUGGUGUAGGACUUUGCCUGCAUGUUGUCAGGUGAGCUUACACUCCAAUGGGCCAUGUAGUAAAACAUUUUGUUAUUUAAAUGUGCAAAUUGAUUUGGGACAGAGCGAAUUUCACUUAUAGUUUUGUUUAUAUUAUGGCCAUUGCUUGCCAGGAGACGUGGGUGUUUUACUGCAG